AUGGUGCAGACAAGAAAACAUAUUGUCUAUCCCUUGGUUUCUCGACUUUUGAAGCUAGCACUAGUAUUGCAUGUUUCCACUGCUACAGUUGAGAGAUCUUUUUCGGCUAUGAGAAUUGUGAAGACAUAUUUGCGCAAUCGUCUUGGUGACGACGCCUUGAAGUACAAAUGGAGAAAAGCGAAAUGA
rnacentral:rRNA from 1 species